UACAGAGGUCCCAAGCGUUGUUCGGAUUCAUUGGGCGUAAAGGGUGCGUAGGUGGCGCGCUAAGUCGGGUGUGAAAUUUCGGAGCUUAACUCCGAACUGCAUUCGAUACUGGUGUGCUUGAGGACUGGAGAGGAGACUGGAAUUCAUGGUGUAGCAGUGAAAUGCGUAGAGAUCAUGAGGAAGACCAGUGGCGAAGGCGGCAGCCUGGCGCACAACUGACGCUGAGACACGACAGCAUGGGGAGCGAACGGG
rnacentral:rRNA from 1 species